AGAUCUCCGAGUUUGUAAGUUUCACCAUGCAAGCCUCCCCUGAGGUUUUCAGGUACAGUAACAAUGGAUGUGGAAUGAGAACACAGCUGAUGGUUAGGUCACAGCAGAAAUGUGCCCUUUCAAUCUGGUACAUGUUCUCAGAUUCUGAGAAAGGCUGCUUCGAGGCAACCUGAGGUCCCAGAAGGAUGUGGGCAGUCAGGUCACCUCCUGCUGCAAACACCACCUCAGAAGAGAGAGAGAAAAACUGGAAAAGUCUAUUUGGAGGAUUGUAACAGAGAAGGAAAGAAACUGGAAGAUUUGAAAACAGGGUUUUAUUUAUUUCUUUUUUGAGAGAAGGUAAGGGAGAAAAAAAGACAAGGAGAAAAACGCAGAUGUGAAUGCAAAACAUCCAUUGGAUGCCUCUCCUCCAUGCCUGGAAUGGGCCUGAACCUGCAAACCUGGCCCAUGACCAGACUGGGAAUCCAGCAGGAGCAUUCCCCCAUGAUGGAAAUGUAGCCGCAGAGGCCAGUCUGUGGAGCCACCACAGCUGUUGUGCUGCCUUUAGCCUGAUCUGAUCCAUUGUCAGGUCCUUGGUGUGGGGAUAGUACUGAGUGGAGCUAAUUUCUAAAAUGAGAUAAUUGUCUCUUUUCUUGUGUGAUGAGUUCUUUCAUAACAAGUCAGGUAAAACAUUUAGUAAGAUUUUCAUAACAACCUGGUUCCCCCAUCCCCCUUUUCAGCUCAGAGAGACAGUGAGGCCACCACCCAGAAAAGCCACGCUAAGCUCAGCAGCCUUGUGUGGGUCACGUGAACAAGUGUGGCUUGGGAUGAGGGAGGCACAAGGAGCAGGGGUGCAGGGGGGCAGGAAGCUGGUUCUCAGUCCUGAUUCUAGGCAGGUCAGCUGCAGGCAGCCCCACCACUAGGCUUCCUCACCAAGUGUGAAGAAGGAGCAGAUUUCUGAAUACUUGGGGACAUGUUGCCUUCUCCCCAGACACAAAUGGUAUGUUUUUAUAUUUAAAGA